rnacentral:rRNA from 1 species
UGGUCCGGCCGGUCCUUUCCUUCGGGGAAACCUCGUGCCCUUCACUGGGCAUGUUGAGCAACCAGGACUUUUACUUUGAAAGAAUUAAAGUGUUCCAACCACGCCUUUGCUCAAAUACAUUAACAUGAAAUAAUAGAAUAGGACGAGUGUUUCUAUUUUGUUGGUUUCUAGAACCGCCAAAAUGAUUAAUAGGGAUAAUCAGGACCAUCAUGAUUCAAUCGACAUACGUGAAAUUCUUGAAUUGAUUGAACACUAACUACUGCUAAAGCAUUUGCCAACGAUGUUUUCAUUAAUCAGUGAACGAAACUUAGGGGAUCAAAUACCAUCAUAUACCGUCCUAUUCUUAACCAUAAACAAUGCCCACUAGAUAUCAUACUGUGUAAUUAUUUUGACCCGUUCGACACCUUACAAUAAAUCAAAUCUUUUGGGAUCAGGGGGGAGUAUGGUCGCAAGGCUGAAACUUAAAGAAAUUGACCGAAGGGCACCACCACGGCUGGAUCCUGCGACUCAAUUUGACUCAACACGGGGAAACUCACCAUGUCCAGACACAAUAAAGAUUGACAGAUUGAUA